rnacentral:pre_miRNA from 1 species
CACAUUCAGAAGCUGAAGCUGCCAGCAUGAUCUGAUCUUUCUUUUAAGUUCCUUCUUCUACUGAUGAAGGUUUGGCAACUUUGGGUGCCUAGCUAGAUUCAGAUCGUGCUGUGCAGUUUCAACUGCUAAUUGG